UGAGGGAUAUUGCACAAUGGACGGAAGUCUGAUGCAGCAACGCCGCGUGAAGGAAGAAGGUUCUCGGAUUGUAAACUUCUAUCGAUGGGGACGAAAUAAAUGACGGUACCUGACUAAGAAGCCCCGGCUAACUACGUG
rnacentral:rRNA from 1 species